CUUGGAUAACUGUGGUAAUUCUAGAGCUAAUACAUGCUAACGAAGCUCCGACCUGCGAAGGGAAGAGCGCUUUUAUUAGUCCAAAAACCGAUGCGGUCUCGAAAGAGGCCGGUGCCGAUGGUGAAAUCUGAAUAACUUUGUGCCGAUCGCACGGCCCCGAGCCGGCGACGUAUCUUUCAAAUGUCUGCCCUAUCAACUUUCGAUGGUAUGCGAGAGGCAUACCAUGGUCAUAACGGGUAACGGGGAAUCAGGGUUCGGUUCCGGAGAGGGAGCAUGAGAAAUGGCUACCACAUCCAAGGAAGGCAGCAGGCACGCAAAUUACCCACUCCCGACACGGGGAGGUAGUGACGAAAAAUAACAAUACGGGACUCAUUCGAGGCCCCGUAAUUGGAAUGAGUACACUUUAAACCCUUUAACGAGGAUCGAUUGGAGGGCAAGUCUGGUGCCAGCAGCCGCGGUAAUUCCAGCUCCAAUAGCGUAUAUUAAAGUUGUUGCAGUUAAAAAGCUCGUAGUUGGAUCUCGGGUCCAGGCGGGUGGUCUGCCUCGCGGCGGUCACUGCCCGUCCUGACCUACUGGCUGGUUUUCUCCCGAUGCUCUUGACUGAGUGUCUCGAGAAGCCAGGACGUUUACUUUGAAAAAAUUAGAGUGUUCAAAGCAGGCUAUCAAGCCUGGAUAAUGGUG
rnacentral:rRNA from 1 species